UACGUAGGGGGCUAGCGUUGUCCGGAAUCAUUGGGCGUAAAGCGCGCGUAGGCGGCCCGGUAAGUCCGUUGUAAAAGUCAAAGGCUCAACCUUUGAAUGCCGAUGGAUACUGUCGAGCUAGAGUCCGGAAGAGGCGAGUGGAAUUCCUGGUGUAGCGGUGGAAUGCGCAGAUAUCAGGAGGAACACCAAUAGCGAAGGCAGCUCGCUGGGACGGUACUGACGCUAAGGCGCGAAAGCGUGGGGAGCGAACAGG
rnacentral:rRNA from 1 species